rnacentral:rRNA from 1 species
UACGGAGGGUGCAAGCGUUAUCCGGAUUCACUGGGCGUAAAGGGUGCGUAGGCGGCCGGGUAAGUCUGCUGUGAAAUCCCGCAGCUCAACUGCGGAACUGCAUUGGAUACUAUCCGGCUAGAGGAAUGGAGGGGAGACUGGAAUUCUCGGUGUAGCAGUGAAAUGCGUAGAUAUCGUAAGGAAGACCAGUGGCGAAGGCGGGUCUCUGGACAGUUCCUGACGCUGAGGCACGAAGGUCAGGGGAGCAAACGGG